UUGAUCCUACGGGAGGCAGCAGUGGGGAAUAUUGGGCAAUGGGCGCAAGCCUGACCCAGCAACGCCGCGUGAAGGAAGAAGGCUUUCGGGUUGUAAACUUCUUUUGUCAGGGACGAAGCAAGUGACGGUACCUGACGAAUAAGCCACGGCUAACUACGUGCCAGCAGCCGCGGUAAUACGUAGGUGGCACGCGUUAUCCGGAUUUAUUGGGUGUAAAGGGCGUGUAGGCGGGAAUGCCAGUCUGAUGUGAAAACUAUGGGCUCAACCCAUAGCCUGCAUUUGAAACUGUAUUUCUU
rnacentral:rRNA from 1 species